rnacentral:rRNA from 1 species
GCAAACGCUGUGGGAUGAGAUUGGCUACACUUUUUAACCUAAAAGAAACGGAAAACAAUAAUGAAACUUUGUCAGAAGGUGGAUUUAGCAGUAAAAGGGAAAUAUAAAGCCUCUUUUAACUCGGCACUGGGGUGUGUACACACCGCCCGUCACCCUCUUCAAAAAUCUUAUAUUAGUUCUUAACCCACUAUCAAAAAUAAAGAAGAGGCAAGUCGUAACAUGGUAAGCGUACCGGAAGGUGUGCUUGGAAACAAAAUAUAGCUUAACUAAAGCCUCUUGCUUACACCAAGAAGAUGUCUGCUAAUCCGGACUGUUUUGAA